CAAAUGAAUUGACGGGGACCCGCACAAGCAGCGGAGCGUGUGGUUUAAUUCGUUGCUACACGAAGAACCUUACCUGGGUUUGACAUAUAGGUUGUAGGGAACUGAAAAGGGACCGACCCUUCGGGGAGCCUAUACAGGUGUUGCAUGGCUGUCGUCAGCUCGUGUCGUGAGAUGUUCGGUUAAGUCCGCUAACGAGCGCAACCCUCGUCGUAUGUUAUAUGUGUCAUACGAGACUGCCGGUAAAAGCCGGAGGAAGGUGAGGAUGAUGUCAAGUCAGCAUGACCUUUAUAUCCAGGGCUACACACACGCUACAAUGGUCUGUACAAUGGGUAGCCAAGCCGCGAGGCGGAGCCAAUCCUGAAAGCAGGCCUCAGUUCAGAUUGCAGUCUGCAACUCGACUGCAUGAAGCCGGAGUUGCUAGUAACCGCAGGUCAGCAAUACUGCGGUGAAUACGUUCCCGGGUCUU
rnacentral:rRNA from 1 species